GCCUGGGUGGCUCAGUCGGUUAAGCGUCUGACUUCGGCUCAGGUCGUGAUCUCACAGUUCGUGAGUUCGAGCCCCACGUCAGGCU
rnacentral:tRNA from 1 species